UAGAGUUUAUAGCUUGAAUAAUGUCGUUUUUUGAGUAAAUCCAAGUUCUAAGAGAGUCAUGCUAUAAUAUCAGGAAGUUAAAUAGUGUCUUAGUUCAGGCUGCUAUAACACAAUACCAGAGACCGGUAGGCUUACAACACAACAGAAGGAUAUUCUUCAUAGUUGUGGAGGCUGGACAUCUGAGAUCAGGGUUUCCUGCAUGCUCUGGUUCUGGUAAGGGUCUUCAGGUUGCAGACUGCCAACUUUUUGUUGUGAUCCCAUGUAGUGAAAAGAGAGCUCUCUCUGGCCUCUUUGUAGGAGGACACUAAUCCUUUCAUGAGAGUCUGCUCUCAUGACCUCAUUAUGAGGCGCUCUACCUCCAAAUACCUGGGGAUUCGAUUUCUACGUGUGAGGGAGGUGGGGAUUCAAACAUCCCAUCCAUAAUACACCAUGUGGAGUUCUAGGGUGUAUUUGAACAGCUAUCUCUCUAACUCAUAUCAGACUCUCAUCAUAUAAAAUUGUGUUGUCAUAAUGGGUUUCUUCUUUUGAAUGUCAGUCAUGACCCAGUCAGGAGUCUGGGCAUUUCAUAUGAGUUGUUGCUAAUUUUCAUGAUAAUCCUGAAAGGUGCAUAUAUCACCCUCCUUUUACAGAUAGGAAAACCCAAGGCUUAAGGAGACAAGGAACCCCUGAUGGGAAAAAAAUGUUUUAGCUUCCUUUAUCAUUGCUAAAUAAAAUGGAAAAGAGAGUUCUCCGUUUCCAGGCUUGGGAAGUGACUUGUCGACCCUGCCCUGAGAGCCUGCUCGAGAAGGUUGGCAAACGCUCCUCGUCCUGCUGUGAAUCCCUCAGGCUUGUGAGGGACGACAGAUGGUUGAGCUAAACUCGGAGCCACCCCUCUACAUAAUGAAGAAAAAUGACCAGCCUCCUGGUAAGUGGAAAUCAGAACCCAUGCACCUUGAAUUCUGGUAAACAGGACAUUGAAACAAACACGAAGUGAAGAAGGGAGAGGAAAACCUUUCACAGGUUACCCGUCUGUUUUUGUUGGUACUUGCACGUAUUAGUAGG
rnacentral:lncRNA from 1 species